UCCGUAGGCGGGCAAUUAAGUCAGAGGUGAAAUCCCACAGCUCAACUGUGGAACUGCCUUUGAUACUGGUUAUCUUGAGUUUUAGUGAAGUAGAUAGAAUAUGUAGUGUAGCGGUGAAAUGCUUAGAUAUUACAUAGAAUACCGAUUGCGAAGGCAGUCUACUAACUAAUAACUGACGCUAAUGGACGAAAGCGUGGGGAGCGAACAGGAUUAGAUACCCUGGUAGUCC
rnacentral:rRNA from 1 species